rnacentral:rRNA from 1 species
UAAGGAAUAUUCCACAAUGGGCGCAAGCCUGAUGGAGCAACGCCGCGUGCAUGAUGAAGCCCUUCGGGGUGUAAAAUGCUUUUCGAGGGGAUGAUGCCAGACAGUACCCUCGGAAUAAGUCUCGGCUAACUACGUGCCAGCAGCCGCGGUAAUACGUAGGAGACGAGCGUUGUCCGGAAUCACUGGGCGUAAAGCGCGUGUAGGCGGAUGGGCAAGUCUGCUGUGAAAGCUCCCGGCUUAACUGGGAGAGGUCGGUGGAAACUGCCAAUCUGGAGGACGGUAGAGGUAGGUGGAAUUCCCGGUGUAGUGGUGAAAUGCGUAGAGAUCGGGAGGAACACCUGUGGCGAAGGCGGCCUACUGGGCCGGACCUGACGCUGAGACGCGAAGGCGUGGGGAGCGAAC